UCCUUGCCGUGUUUCCGAAUGAACUCAUCUAUUCCCUGCCUCCACCACUGGGCAUGCCUGUAGCUGGUGCACUUCAAAAUCAGUGACCUAGAGAGAUUGUCUAUCUGCAAGCCGUACUUUGUUUCUGUUUCUUUCUGGCCUAUCUUGAUGCUGAAUUCCUUAUCCACCAGCAGGACGAAGGAAAUGGCCCCUGAGUCUGGCUUCAUGUAGAGCAGGAAGGAGUCCUUC
rnacentral:lncRNA from 1 species